rnacentral:rRNA from 1 species
UACAGAGGGUGCAGGCGUUAAUCGGAUUUACUGGGCGUAAAGCGUGCGUAGGUGGCUCGCUAAGUCGGUUGUGAAAUCCCUGGGCUCAACCUGGGAAUUGCAGUCGAUACUGACGAGCUCGAGUUCGGUAGAGGGUGACGGAAUUCCCGGUGUAGCGGUGAAAUGCGUAGAUAUCAGGAAGAACACCUAUGGCGAAAGCAGCUCUCUGGGACGGUACUGACGCUGAGACGCGAAAGCGUGGGGAGCGAACAGG